CAUGUAGGCGGUCUGUCAAGUCUGAUGUGAAAGCCCGGGGCUCAACCCCGGAAGUGCAUUGGAAACUGGCAGACUUGAGUACGGGAGAGGAAAGUGGAAUUUCGAGUGUAGGGGUGAAAUCCGUAGAUAUUCGAAGGAACACCAGUGGCGAAGGCGGCUUUCUGGACCGAUACUGACGCUGAGAUGCGAAAGCGUGGGGAGCAAACAGGACUAGAUACCCUGGUAGUCC
rnacentral:rRNA from 1 species